rnacentral:lncRNA from 1 species
CUGAAGGUGAGGAGUUGGGCGCCAACCAGAAUAACCAGGUAAUUUCUUAGGCACAGAAGUCUUCUUUGAAAAACUUUGUAUAUUAUUGAAGGAUGGCAGAAGCAGUUUUGAUUGAUCUUUUGUUUUGAAAUUGACCUGUCAGGAAAACUGCCAUGAGACAUUGAAGACAUUGAAUGCCAUCCAAUACCACCUUGCUGCCAAGGCCAAGUUCCUUUGCAUAAUGGGUUGCAAGUAACAUGAGGUAUGAAAGGGUUGGUAAACAAGAUAAUUGUGAACUGGAAACAAGCAAUGGAUUAUUAGCUCUCUUGAGAGAACUUGAGACUGUUAGUAAUCCCAGCAUGGCUGCUUCUUUGUAUACCAUUAAACAAAAAAUAGAUGAAAAAAAUCUAAGCGGCAUUAAGGUAAUUGUACCUGCACACAGGAAAACCUUAAUGAAGGCUUUUAUUGAUCGUCUCUUCACUGAGGUUUACAAUUUUGAGUUUGAAGAUUUACAGGUGACUUUGAGGGAUGGCCUUUUGAAACAGUCCACUGAGAUAAACACAAUCACAGCUCAUAAACUAGAAGAAAUCCAGAGUGAAAUAGAAACAUAUUUGAGAAGUCUGCCAGCCAGCACUGAAAGGAGAAUUAACUAUUAUCACAUCUCCUUUGAUCCCAGUAGUU